rnacentral:rRNA from 1 species
AUUGAACGCUGGCGGCAUGCUUUACACAUGCAAGUCGAACGGCAGCGCGGGCUUCGGCCUGGCGGCGAGUGGCGAACGGGUGAGUAAUGCAUCGGAACGUGCCCAGUAGUGGGGGAUAGCCCGGCGAAAGCCGGAUUAAUACCGCAUACGACCUGAGGGUGCAAGCGGGGGACCGAAAGGCCUCGCGCUAUUUGAGCGGCCGAUGUCGGAUUAGCUAGUUGGUGGGGUAAAGGCUUACCAAGGCGACGAUCCGUAGCUGGUCUGAGAGGACGAGCAGCCACACUGGGACUGAGACACGGCCCAGACUCCUACGGGAGGCAGCAGUGGGGAAUUUUGGACAAUGGGGGCAACCCUGAUCCAGCCAUGCCGCGUGCGGGAAGAAGGCCUUCGGGUUGUAAACCGCUUUUGUGCGGGAAGAAAUCCUCUGGGCUAAUACCCCGGGGGGAUGACGGUACCGGAAGAAUAAGCACCGGCUAACUACGUG